rnacentral:misc_RNA from 1 species
UGCCGAUGAAGCAGACCGGCUUGGCCUCCCAGGCCAAGCCGGGCAAGCUCUACCGUGGGGUCCGGCAGCGCCACUGGGGCAAGUGGGUUGCGGAGAUCCGCCUUCCCAAGAACCGCACCCGCCUCUGGCUUGGCACCUUCGACACCGCCGAGGAGGCGGCACUCGCCUACGACAAGGCCGCCUACCGUCUUCGAGGUGAAUUCGCCCGACUAAACUUCCCCGCCCUCCGCCAUGAAAUUGCCGCCAGCGACGGCACCGCCGGCCCGCUCCCCUCCUCCAUCGACGCGAAGCUCCAGGAAAUUUGCCGGAGCCUCGACUUGCCCAGCCGCAGCACAAUCCCUCCACCAGCGGCGGUACCAUCAGAGAGCUGGUCUGAAGGUGAUGACUCGUCUUCAGGGUCUUCUCAAAUUGAGUCGUCAUCGUCGCCAGUUCCGGAAAUGCAGAAGCUGGAGUUCACACCGAUGCCGGAAAUGCAGCAACUGGACUUCACCGAGGUGCCGUGGGAUGAGUCGGAAAACUUUGUGUUGAGAAAAUAUCCGUCGUGGGAUAUAGAUUGGGAUUCGAUUCUCUCGUCCAGCUAGCUUAGCUGGGGAUUCCAGUCUCUCGUCUAGCUAGCCUAGGUUACUUCUUUGUCAGUUGGCUCUUGUUG